UAAUUUGGGUGCUCUAUCUACUAUACUGUGCUUACUUCUUUUUUUCCUCAAAGAUCAAUUGUAUGUUUGAUGGUAUAUUAAAAAUUUGUAUGUUUUAAGUUUCUAGAUGAUGAUUUUGUUUUGUUUGAGAUUGAUUUUGAUGAAGGUGUUUUCUAAAAAUUUGGGUUUAUUGUUAAAGAUGAUGAUGAACAAUGAAGAUCAUGAUAAACACAUUAGAUGUUUAUUAUUUUUUAAAAUAAAUUAUUUAAUUUAAA
rnacentral:lncRNA from 1 species